rnacentral:lncRNA from 10 species
ACACGGACCCCACGAGCGCGGCGGCGGCGACAGCAGCGGGCCAGGCAAGAGCACAACAUGGCGGCGGGCAGGACGGACCGAGCUACAGCAGCGGCCGCGCGAGGAAGUGAGGUCUCUGGCGAAGGCGGGAAGCGCUGCCCCUCCCCCCGCCGCCGCUUCCCUAUCACCCUCGCACAGAAACUCCCGCACACUCACACACCUCUGCUCAGGAGUCCAGGAAGAGCAGGAGCCGCCCCCGCGCUCCUACGGAGUCGGGCAAUGCAGAGGCCCAGGCGCGGCGGAGGGGAGGGGGAAGUGUGCGUCACGGAGAACGGAGCGCGCGCGAAGCGGGGGCACAAGCAAGAUGGCGGCCACGCCGUUUGCACCGUUUCCCCUUUUCCCUUCCCCCUCCCUUGGCGCCUGGACUCCCAGUAUCGUGCGGUGCGCAGAAGCUGUGCUCCUUGAGGUCUCGCGAGAAUUGGGAAGGGGCGACGACAGAGGGAGGCGGAAUGAGAUCUGAGAGUUUUAACCCCGCCCCCUUUCGGGAGCUCGAGAUCUGAGUUUUGACCCCGCCCCCUUUCGGGGGAUCCGGAGGCGCUGCCCAGUGACCUCCACCACCCUGCCUAUCCUUGUGGAUCUCCUUGGUGCGAGCUUGAAUUUUAGGAAAUAAGUAGGUGUGUGCGCGUGCCCUUGAGUUUUAGGAACUAAGUAGGGGCGUGUGUGUGUAUUUGUGUUUUUAAUUUGGGGAGAAAGAACUGGGGGAUGAAGGUCGACAUGGCGUUCCAGAUUAAGCAUGCCGUUCAAGUAGACAGCUACUGGCACCUUAAAUUCAUAAAAGAGCAUUUAGCACCAAACUGUAAAGUGAUGUCCUCUAGAAUAAAGAACAGUACUUACCAAGAAUAGUUAGCUUGUAACCUUACGUCGACAUAGUUGUUCUUAUUUGAAUGCAGAUUUUAAAGUUUUAUCACGCAGUUGGAAACCACAGCUACUAUGAGCAUGGAUUUUUUCAUACUUAUCUCUUUCAUUUCCGUGACCACUUGGUCCAAAGGCAUCAGGAUUGUAUCCAUUUUACAAAUGAUAAAACUGAAGCUCAAAAAGGUUAAGUAACUUGAUCUAAGUCCCCACAGCUAGUAAGUGUCAAAACCCCAUCCGAAUAACUUCAAAACCUGUAGGUAUAGUCAUCAAAUGUGUCUUGAAUGGAAUUACCUACAGUGAGAGUUAGUGCAUUAGGUAACAAGCGCAGAGAGGAAUGACUGCCUCUGCUGAUGGUAACCUUGAAUUUUACAAAUGACACUGGAGCCUUUCUGAGACUAGUGUUGCAUGGGUCCUCAAUAAAAUCACACUGUUGUUACUCACUUCCUUUGGGUUUAUAACCCUGGUGAUAAAGUAAUUGAGAAUAGUGGAGUAAACCCUCGACUUGAAUUCAGGAAAAUUGUUUUCAAAUCCAGUUUCAAUAAAUCUCACAUCAGGCACUCUAUUUGAUGAAUGAAUGAACAAAACCUAACUAUAAGACACUUGACUUCAGGGAGUCUCAAUUCCUUCAUCUGUAAAAAGAUCUAAUUCCUAACUUUUGGUAAUGUUGGGGAGAGUGAAUGAAAUAAUGUGAGAGUGCUUCGUAAAUUGCAAAAGUGUUAUAAAGAAGUUACUGGUAAGAGCUACGAGUGUCUCGCUGCACUCUAGCAUGGGCGACAGUGCGAGGCCCUGUCUC